AGGAGAAGUAUGAAGAGAUUAGGGAACACAUAUUGGAACAGCCUUUCUACUGUGAAUCAGCCCGUGAAUGGCGUGCUGGGGUAUCAUGUGAAGAUCCACCUGAUCUUACUCAAGAUGGAAGUAGGCUCUGGGCUAUUGAUAAGCCUAAUAUUGCUCAGCCCCCUCCUGGGUGGGAACGCCUUUUAAGAAUACGAGGUGAAGGAGGCACCAGGUUUGCUGAUGUGUAUGUGUCUUGCAUUCCUUCCCUCCUCCUUUUGCCGUUAGUAGGUCUUAAAAAGUGUAUAUGAUUCUUCCCUUUUAAGCUAGGACAAAUACAGCCUAAUUAAUAUUUCUCUUGUCAUGAUGAUUUUUACAGGUAUUAUGUUUCGCCAUCGGGCAAAAGACUUCGUUCCAUGAUUGAAAUUCAAAAGUAAAAUUACAAAAUCUUGAAUCUGUAUUUUCUUUUCAUAUUCCUCGCGGUUUUUGCUCAAUGCGUUCUCUUCCCAGGUACUUGCAGGAACACCCGGAGUAUGUAGAAGAAGGUGUAAGUAUGUCCCGGUUUUCAUUUCAGAUCCCAAGACCUCUGCAGGAAAACUAUGUUAGGAAGCGGCCUUAUCGUCCAGCACUUGCAGAUGAUGAAGAUGAUCCUGGUAUGUCACGACCUUUUGAACCUCCAUAAACAUGGUUCUUUAAGCAUGCUGAAGUUAAAAAACUCUAGCAUUUGUGAUUGAAGCUAGUUGCAUGAAUAUAGUUCAUGCUGGAAAAUGAGGAAAUAAAGUUAACAGGUGCUAUUUGGUUCUUUCUCCCCCUCUAAGACUGCUAAAGGUGAACAAUGAAAGAAUUACUCUCAAGUUAUGAACUGUUCCGACUGGAGUAAGUGGAAGCUUGCCCUAGGGAUAAUGAAUCUAUCUGAACAUACACGUUAUAAAUGAAUCACUAUGUGGAGCAUUUAGCCGUCUUAGGCUAUAAGUACUUGAUUGAUGGAUUUUCCGUCACUACUCGCUGUCUAUUAUAACUACUCACCUCCUAUCAUACUGUGAAGUGUUCAUAAGCAUAGAUCAGUUCAUGUUGAUUGGUGUGAUUCCAUUAAGUUUCUAAAUUGUGUGAACUUGAGACGUCUGCUGGAUAUGAAGAUCUAUGUUUAUAUCUUCGCUCCUGAACGGUUAUUCAUCUGGUUGUCCCAUCACCUUAGUCUAAUUAUUACCUGAGCUUGUAAUAGGCAUUGUUUUCUACAAAAGAAUCAGACUUUGUACUCCGCACUGAUUGAAGCGUAUUUGUGGCUAUGGCAGCUAAACGCAUAGCAUGGAUUGGUUCAGAUGGUACUACAGAUUUACGGCUUGGUAUGCCAGGGCUGUCUGCACCUAUUGACCGGGCCCCUCUUUUUGAACCUGUGAGCCAAUCAUUCAAGAAGAAGCGGACUCCAUCUAAACGAAUGAGCAACACUGAUGCAGCGUGCAAGUCAAGUUAGAAGAGUCUCGUCUACUUUUAUUUGUAUACGAUCUGGUGAGAUAGAUCUCUGUGAGUUCAUUUUGUGUAAGCUGACAUUGAGCAACCUGCACAUGGACUUGUACGUACGGAAACGUUACUAGCUAUAUGGCUUUUACCAAGCAUUGCUACUUCCGUGAAGGUCAUAUCUUUUGUUGUUUCGGUUGAGUGUAGAUAUGAAUGGAACGAGGUAAUGUAAAGAACAACUGUUCUAUCUUAGUUUUAGUUGAAAUGUUUAAUUCUGUUAAGGUAAAAGCGAAUGCUUACCGUAAAAAACUUAGCUAGCGUUUGGCCACAGAUUUCCAAAUUUCUGUUGCAAAAUUUGAUUUUGAUGAAGUUUGGUUUGAAGAUGAAAAUGUGUUUGGACACUUCAAAAUAUAUCUUCCAAAUUUAUUUUGGAAAAACAUGAAACAUGACUUGUACCCACAAACAGUACCAUUAUCAAUAACAUUCAUUAUAUUAUCGCAAAUUAUAGUCCUGAACAUAAAUAAAUUUGGUACAAAAUUAUCAUUUUUAUAAUGAACUACAUGAUACACUAUAAUAUGACUGAAAAGACGAAGCAACAUUAUUACGAAAUAAUAAAUGGUUGGCUUUUUUAUACAUACAAAAAUUUGGGGUAAUAUUUAAAAAAUAUAAUUGUAAUAUUUUGGCCCAAAACCAGUUAUUGAGUUGGUGUGAUUUGGGAUUUGGGAUUUUGUGAAAAUGUAGGUAAAUUCUAUGGCCAAACAUGUGUUUGCUAAAUAAAAUCCAAAAUUUAAGAGUGAUGACAAACUCUGUGCUUUUUUACUUACUUGGAUCAAGUAAGAACUCAGCUUAACCAUCAAUACAAAGAUAAGAAAAUUCACUUAUCAUCCUGGACCAGGUUAAUUAGGCUAUAAAUAUCACUUAUUCAGAAUAUGUAAAGCACAAUAUAUCUUCCCCUUUUGACAUCAUCGAAAAGUUACAUACAAAGUGUGAGUCCCAGAUUUCAAUAAGUGCUCAUGGCCACUGAGGUAACUGCAAGUACAAUCAUGGAUUAAUCAUCAGUAAUCAAGCAAAUAUAUUUAAACUAUCAAGGAAAUAUUUACAUUUAUCAAGAGCAACAACAACAAUAACAACAACCCAGUAUAAUCCCACUUAGUGGGGUCUGGGGAGGGUAGUAUNNNNNNNNNNNNNNNNNNNNNNNNNNNNNNNNNNNNNNNNNNNNNNNNNNNNNNNNNNNNNNNNNNNNNNNNNNNNNNNNNNNNNNNNNNNNNNNNNNNNNNNNNNNNNNNNNNNNNNNNNNNNNNNNNNNNNNNNNNNNNNNNNNNNNNNNNNNNNNNNNNNNNNNNNNNNNNNNNCCAAGAACUUCCCACUUUGCUCUUGGGGAGACUCGAACUCACAACCUCUCGAUUGGAAGUGGGGGUUGCUUACUAUCAGAGCAACCCCUCUUGUCUAACAUUUAUCAAGAGCAAAAACAGUAAAUAUUAUUAAUAGAAGAUAUGCUGCUACUACAAUCCACAAUCAGAAAGCAAAAAUAUUCAAAACACGAGCAAAAAGAAAGAAAAAUCCCUAAUCCGGCUCACUGAAAGUACUAUACAGGUUCAGGAGAUAAAGGCUAGAAUUCCCGAGGCUUGGGAGAGCUAGAGGGUUAGUUUUGGGCUUGGAGAAGAUUCAACAUAUUUUGAAGAAUUCCAUCAUUCUUCUCCUUUUCCUAAGCUCAGUUCUAAGAGCAUCCCUCUCAGAUUCCACCUCUGCCACACGAGCCUUUAGCCUAGCUAUCUCAACAUCCUUGGCUUCAUUUUCCUGAAUAAGAGCCCUGACUUUACUUUUGAUAGGAGUCUUCUUGGAUGAACCAGGUUCAUUUGAGAUGGAAAUGACUAAAUAGUCAUAUGCAAGCAGAGUAUUAAUGCCAAAGUAGUCCUUGCUUGAGGCCAUUUUUCAUUUCUUCACAGGCACAUUGCACCUAUCCUGAACUGUAGUCAGAAUAAAGCCAUACGGGGUAGCAUGAGCCUUGGAGCCAUUUAUGACCCUGUCCAGUAACUUGAUUAUGAAUACAUGCUAGUUAAUUUGCCCUCCACUUUCAAGGCCCAUCAGAACUAAGUCCAUAUAAUUUGCAAUAUGCCUUCUCUCCUGCUUUGACAGAAGGCAUUUGUUGACAAACUCAAAGAAGACUUUGCGAUGUGACUUCAUUUCACUCUUGUGCACAAACUUGGCCUCAUUCACUCAAUCUAUGACCAAACGGCUCCUUAAAGUAUAACUGGCUGCUCAUGGCAUUUUCACGUUUAGAUUCUUUCUGUUUUUUAUACUAUGUUUGACGCCCCAUAACAUAAUCUGUGGCAUAUGGUUUGGAAGAGAAAAUAAAAUGAAAAAUAAUCGACUGUCUAACUCAAAUACACAUACCGUUUUUCAAAAUUUCCCAAAUUUGCUGGGUACACAUCACAGCUUCUUAAAAUAUACUCGAUAAUUUCCAACAAAGAUUGAAGGAGAAAGUAUUUACACUCUGAAAUAUCAAGCCACGUGGAAUUACAUAAAGGAAAUGAGAGAUUUUGGGUUAAUUUUCUCGCGCAAAGCAUCAUUCUAUUGCCUUAAUACCUAUGCUAGAGCAGAUUACAUAAUAUUACGUUUCCUCUUUGCAAAUUGUUAAUUGACUUACUUGGAAAUACGCACCUGUUAGGCGUACUUUUAUAUAUAAGGAAAAUGACACUCUAUCACCGCUCUCAAAAUAUAUAUAUAUGAUUCUCAACUUCGACGAAACUCCUUUCCGAAUUAUACAUCUAGAAUUUUGUCAGCUGUAGGGGCAUUUACUGUGCAGUGCGCUAAUUGCUUCAAGUGGAGGCUCAUACCUACAAAGGAGAAGUAUGAAGAGAUUAGGGAACACAUAUUGGAACAGCCUUUCUACUGUGAAUCAGCCCGUGAAUGGCGUGCUGGGGUAUCAUGUGAAGAUCCACCUGAUCUUACUCAAGAUGGAAGUAGGCUCUGGGCUAUUGAUAAGCCUAAUAUUGCUCAGCCCCCUCCUGGGUGGGAACGCCUUUUAAGAAUACGAGGUGAAGGAGGCACCAGGUUUGCUGAUGUGUAUGUGUCUUGCAUU
rnacentral:lncRNA from 1 species